rnacentral:rRNA from 1 species
CAGCGCCACGAGUGGGGAUCAUAUUUAUUGGGCCUAAAGCGUCCGUAGCCGGCGCUGUAAGUUUUCGGUUAAAUCUGUACGCUCAACGUACAGGCUGCCGGGAAUACUGCAGCGCUAGGGAGUGGGAGAGGUAGACGGUACUCGGUAGGAAAGGGUAAAAUCCUUUGAUCUAUUGAUGACCACCUGUGGCGAAGGCGGUCUACCAGAACACGUCCGACGGUGAGGGAUGAAAGCUGGGGGAGCAAACCGGAUUAGAUACCCGAGUAGUCC